GACGAACGCUGGCGGCGUGCCUAACACAUGCAAGUCGAGCGGGGUUGAAGCGAGAGGUAACUCGAGUUUCUACCUAGCGGCGGACGGGUGAGUAACGCGUGGGCAACCUGCCUCAAGGUCUGGGAUAACAGCCCGAAAGGGCUGCUAAUACCGGGUAUGCUUGUGGCCUCGCAUGGGGCUAUGAGCAAAGGGGAAACCCGCCUUGAGAUGGGCCCCGCGUCCCAUCAGCUAGUUGGUGAGGUAACAGCUCACCAAGGCGACGACGGGUAGCCGGCCUGAGAGGGUGACCGGCCACACUGGGACUGAGACACGGCCCAGACUCCUACGGGGGGCAGCAGUGGGGGAUCUUGCACAAUGGGCGAAAGCCUGAUGCAGCGACGCCGCGUGAGCGAAGAAGGCCUUCGGGUUGUAAAGCUCUGUCUGGAGGGACGAAGGAAGUGACGGUACCUCCGGACGGAAGCCACGGCUAACUAACGUGCCAGCAGCCGCGGUAAACGUGUAGUCGU
rnacentral:rRNA from 1 species